UACGUAGGGUGCAAGCGUUGUCCGGAAUUAUUGGGCGUAAAGAGCUCGUAGGCGGUUUGUUGCGUCGGCUGUGAAAUCCCGAGGCUCAACCUCGGGUCUGCAGUCGAUACGAGCAAACUAGAGUGUUGCAGGGGAGACUGGAAUUCCUGGUGUAGCGGUGAAAUGCGCAGAUAUCAGGAGGUACACCGGUGGCGAAGGCGGGUCUCUGGGCAACAACUGACGCUGAGGAGCGAAAGCGUGGGGAGCGAACAGG
rnacentral:rRNA from 1 species